CGCGAAGAGUAUAGCAGCGGUCAGCGGGUGGAGUCGGCACCGGCACGCCGGCCGUCGGGACCGCGAUGUUGGCCGCCGCCUGUCCUCUCUCCGCCGUCGCCGGUCUCCUCCCGACCUCUCUCUCGCUGCCCCUCCUCCUCGCCACCCUCUUACUGUCAUUUCUUACUAUCAGUUCCAGUGUGGGUUUUAGAUGAUCACCCGAGCAGCUGCAAGGAAGCUUUUCACAAAUAUCAGAUUGAAGAGGUGGUGUUUUGGUGCUGAGCUUGUAUACCUGUGCAAGCGCCUCAGGAUCCCUAUAGUAGAGGUAUCUGUUAACUGGACCGAGUCACCGAGAUACCUGGUUUCAAAGUGCACAUGACAAUUGACAAGCAUCAUGCCCACGGACACAUGGUAUUCGAGCUCCUGCUGAUCAAAGUAGGUUAUGGACUGGGGGAUAUGGAAAAUCUACUCGUAGAUCCUGACAUCCUAUGCUGACUAGUUUCUGCAACUUAGUUUAUCAUCACUCCUAUACAAAACUUAGUUCAUCGGCGGCAGAUGCAUUUGUAGAACUGUGCAUUUCUCUGAGGGUUUUCAAAGCAAGAGAACCAAUUGACAUGUAACCUAGUGUGUUGAUCAUAGAGAUGUUGACAGAUAUAGGCCAAAUUUGUUGUCCCAGGCUCCCAGCUGAUGAACUCAGACUGUGUGUGACCUUGAUUAUCA